UCUGGUGGCCACAGCGGAGGGGAAACACCCGUUCCCAUCCCGAACACGGAAGUUAAGCCCUCCAGCGCCGAUGGUACUGGGGUUCUCCCCGGGAGAGUAGGUCGCUGCCAGGA
rnacentral:rRNA from 1 species